rnacentral:tRNA from 2 species
CGGGCCGGAGUAUGCCGGUAGUACAUGCGAUUCGGGUUCGUAAGGACCGGGUUCGAUUCCCGGCGGCCCGA